AACGAGGCCGACCUGCGGCUGAGUUACCUGCGGAAGGAUCAUUAAUAAAUGUUACUUCGGUAACUUAAUUAAUCCCUAACACCUGUGCAUCUUGUCGCUUCGGCGUCAUUUUAUAAACAUCAGUGUAAUGAAUGUAACGUAUUAUAACAAAUACAACUUUUAACAAUGGAUCU
rnacentral:misc_RNA from 1 species